rnacentral:tRNA from 1 species
GCGGAAGUAGUUCAGUGGUAGAAUACAACCUUGCCAAGGUUGGGGUCGCGGGUUCGAAUCCCGUCUUUCGCUCCA